AAGGACUUCAAGUCAUCUGCGAAGAUAAACGGCUGAACGCCAAACUUUACAGCAACAGGGCAGCAGCUCAUUUCCAUUUGGGAAACUACCAAGAGUGUCUCGAUGAUGCAGCAGUUGCUGUUCAAUUGGAACCCACUUUAAUUAAAGCCAUCAAAAAAGGAGCCAGUGCAUGUGUCGAGCUUUCCUUGUAUAAAGAAGCAAGAAGCUGG